rnacentral:rRNA from 1 species
CCUACGGGUGACAGCAGUGGGGAAUCUUGCACAAUGGGCGAAAGCCUGAUGCAGCAACGCCGCGUGAAGGAAGAAGGGUUUCGGCUCGUAAACUUCUAUCAACAGGGACGAAAGAAAUGACGGUACCUGCAUAAGAAGCCCCGGCUAACUACGUGCCAGCAGCCGCGGUAAUACGUAGGGGGCAAGCGUUAGCCGGCAUUACUGGGUGUAAAGGGUGAGUAGGCGGUAUGGUAAGCCAGCUGUGAAAGCCUUGGGCUUAACCCGAGGAUUGCAUUUGGAACUAGCAAGCUAGAGUAUAGGAGAGGAAAUCGGAAUUCCUGGUGUAGCGGUGAAAUGCGUAGAUAUUAGGAGGAACACCAGUGGCGAAGGCGGCUUUCUGGACUUAAACUGACGCUGAGGCACGAAAGCGUGGGGAGCGAACAGGAUUAGAUACCCGUGUAGUC